rnacentral:rRNA from 1 species
AGAGCGAACGCUGGCGGCAUGCUUAACACAUGCAAGUCGCACGGGCAUUUCGGUGUCAGUGGCGGACGGGUGAGUAUCGCGUAGGGAUUUAUCGUUGGGUGGGGGAUAACCCUGGGAAACUGGGGCUAAUACCGCAUGACGCCUGUGGGCCAAAGCAGCAAUGCGCCUGAUGAGGAGCCUGCGUUCGAUUAGCUUGUUGGUGGGGUUAUGGCCUACCAAGGCGACGAUCGAUAGCUGGUCUGAGAGGAUGAUCAGCCACACUGGGACUGAGACACGGCCCAGACUCCUACGGAGGCAGCAGUGGGGAAUAUUGGACAAUGGGCGCAAGCCUGAUCCAGCAAUGCCGCGUGGAUGAAGAAGGUUUUCGGAUUGUAAAGUCCUUUCGGCGGGGACGAUGAUGACGGUACCCGCAGAAGAAGCCCCGGCUAACUUCGUGCCAGCAGCCGCGGUAA